rnacentral:rRNA from 1 species
AACGAACGCUGGCGGCAUGCCUAACACAUGCAAGUCGAACGAGACCUUCGGGUCUAGUGGCGCACGGGUGCGUAACGCGUGGGAACCUGCCCUUAGGUUCGGAAUAACUCCCCGAAAGGGGUGCUAAUACCGGAUAAUGUCUUCGGACCAAAGAUUUAUCGCCUUUGGAUGGGCCCGCGUUGGAUUAGCUAGUUGGUAGGGUAAAAGCCUACCAAGGCGACGAUCCAUAGCUGGUCAGAGAGGAUGAUCAGCCACACUGGGACUGAGACACGGCCCAGACUCCUACGGGAGGCAGCAGUGGGGAAUAUUGGACAAUGGGCGAAAGCCUGAUCCAGCAAUGCCGCGUGAGUGAUGAAGGCCUUAGGGUUGUAAAGCUCUUUUACCCGGGAUGAUAAUGACAGUACCGGGAGAAUAAGCUCCGGCUAACUCCGUG